GGAAGGUUAGUUCAGUUGGUAGAACACGCCAAACUCCUACGGAGAGGCUAUGGUCUGCGGUUCGAGUCCGCAACCUUCCCCCA
rnacentral:tRNA from 4 species